GUCCGAGUGGCGGAAUUGGUAGACGCGCUAGGUUGAGGGCCUAGUGGUAGCAAUACCGUGCUGGUUCAAGUCCAGUCUCGGACACCG
rnacentral:tRNA from 1 species